UACAGAGGUUACAAGCGUUAUCCGGAUUUAUUGGGCGUAAAGCGUUUCGUAGGUGAUUUGUUAAGUUGCUCUUUAAAGACCAAGGCUCAACCUCGGGAAGGGGAGUAAGACUGACAGAAUUGAAUAGUGGUGGGGCUUCUGGAACUGGUGGUGUAGUAGUGAAAUACGUUGAUAUCAUCAGGAACUCCAAGGGCGAAGGCAGGAAGCUAACCAUUUAUUGACACUGAGGAACGACAGCUAGGGUAGCGAAAGGG
rnacentral:rRNA from 1 species